rnacentral:lncRNA from 1 species
AAGGAUUAGAGAUAAAUUUCUCUAGCCACGUGAGGAAUGAAAUAGGGCACUUUUUUUUUAAAUAUCAGGGAGGUUCCAUAUGGUCAAGCACAGCCAGAGUGGUGGACAUCCUGACAGGGCAGUUCAGAGAGCAGCAGCUCCGGAAGAAAUGGGCCAAAGUCCAUAGAGAGAGGGAGCAGAAAAGAGGACAGAGUCACACUCCUGAACAACCAGAACAGUUUUCCAGUGUCCUCAUCUGCAGAAAUACCAGAUGAUCCAAAACAGAUUCUUUUUUUUUUUUUUUUUUUUCUGAGACAGAGUCUCACUUUGUUGCCAAGGCUGGAGAUCAAUGGCAUGCAAUUUUGGUUUACUGCCACCUCUGACUCCUGGGUUCAAGCGAUUUUCCUGCCUCAGCCUCCUGAGUAGCUGGGAUUACAGGAUGAAGGCGCGGAGACGGGAAACUCCUGCCUUUUAAACCACGCCCCUCACAGACCCUGGAAGAGCAGUCCCUCAGUUUUACCACGUGGACCAAUCUGGUCUCCAACUCCCGACCUCAAGUGAUCCACCAGCCUCGGCCUCCCAAAAUGCUGGGAUUACAGAAACGAGCCACUGCGCCUAGCUGAGUCGGGGUUUUGCAAUGUUGUCCAGGCUGAUCUUGAACUCCUGGGCUCAAGUGAUCCUUCUACGUCAGCCUCUGAAAAUGCUGGGAUUACAGACAUGGGCCACUGAGCCCAACCCCUGGGCUGCAUUGGAAAACUCAUACCUUCAAUUCAUCUUCGUCAUUAACCACGCCAAAGAUGGUACUGGAUUCAUGAAGUCUGACAAGGCAGAGUUUGGACAAUAACCUGUGGAAGGCCAUUGAAUUUCAGCACCAAUCACUGUGAAUCUAUUUACUUGUUACCAAAGCCUUUAAUUUACUGUGUUAAAUCACAGUUGUAAAAAUUGUCAACUCAAGUAUUUCCCAUCAACUAUAAAGCAUUAAAAUAUAAAUUAUAUUUUCAAAACUCACAUCUAUUAUUCUUUCUUAUUUCUUUCCUUUCUACUUUAUUUUUCCCCAGGAGUUGGGAAGAAUGGUUCAAGAGGGGGCUGCCUUUGAAGUUAUUUCAAUCUUUAUUCUAUCUAGUCUGUUCCUGAACUCAUUUAAUAUACUUGAUUUUUAAGUCAUAAUUAUAUUCUCCAGAUACUAAUUCAUGACAUCCUUCCUAAGAAUUGUUCAUUAAAAUCUAAUUUUUGC